CAUCUAUGCCAUGAGUAAAGACAGCUUCAAAUACGAGUUGAGAAUAUAAAGGCAUUCAUUUAGGAAACAAAAUAUAAAGAUGUGAUAGAUAAAAUAAAUGCAUCCAGAAUUCCAGAUUAUAAAGCAAACUGAGUGCAUAAAUUUAUAUUGCGAUAGGUUUGUGCAAUUUGCAUAAGUCAUCCGGUUAGUAGAAAUUAGGAUUCGCCAAUGGGUUAUAAUCGGAAAAAAUAUGUACAUUCCCAAGUAAUAUAUAAAAUAGUCGAGCUUUAAAAUAACUAUUCAAAUAGAAGCUGUAAAUAUAUACGUCCAACUGGCUUCUUCUAUUCACAGUCAAUUAUUUCAAUUCAAAAGCAAACACAAAUUCAGCAACAAUCUUUUGGUGACCCGGCAGUCAGCGGUCU
rnacentral:lncRNA from 1 species